rnacentral:rRNA from 1 species
CGAUGAACCACUUCGGUGGGGAUUAGUGGCGAACGGGUGAGUAACACGUGGGCAAUCUGCCCUGCACUCUGGGACAAGCCCUGGAAACGGGGUCUAAUACCGGAUACUGACCCUCACGGGCAUCUGUGAGGUUCGAAAGCUCCGGCGGUGCAGGAUGAGCCCGCGGCCUAUCAGCUUGUUGGUGAGGUAACGGCUCACCAAGGCGACGACGGGUAGCCGGCCUGAGAGGGCGACCGGCCACACUGGGACUGAGACACGGCCCAGACUCCUACGGGAGGCAGCAGUGGGGAAUAUUGCACAAUGGGCGCAAGCCUGAUGCAGCGACGCCGCGUGAGGGAUGACGGCCUUCGGGUUGUAAACCUCUUUCAGCAGGGAAGAAGCGAAAGUGACGGUACCUGCAGAAGAAGCGCCGGCUAACUACGUGCCAGCAGCCGCGGUAAUACGUAGGGCGCGAGCGUUGUCCGGAAUUAUUGGGCGUAAAGAGCUCGUAGGCGGCUUGUCGCGUCGGUUGUGAAAGCCCGGGGCUUAACCCCGGGUCUGCAGUCGAUACGGGCAGGCUAGAGUUCGGUAGGGGAGAUCGGAAUUCCUGGUGUAGCGGUGAAAUGCGCAGAUAUCAGGAGGAACACCGGUGGCGAAGGCGGAUCUCUGGGCCGAUACUGACGCUGAGGAGCGAAAGCGUGGGGAGCGAACAGGAUUAGAUACCCUGGUAGUCCACGCCGUAAACGGUGGGCACUAGGUGUGGGCAACAUUCCACGUUGUCCGUGCCGCAGCUAACGCAUUAAGUGCCCCGCC